AACGAACGCUGGCGGCAUGCCUAACACAUGCAAGUCGAACGAGACCUUCGGGUCUGGUGGCGCACGGGUGCGUAACGCGUGGGAACCUGCCCUUAGGUUCGGAAUAACGCCCCGAAAGGGGUGCGAAUACCGGAUAAUGUCUUCGGACCAAAGAUUUAUCGCCCUUGGAUGGGCCCGCGUUGGCUUAGCUAGUUGGUAGGGUAAAAGCCUACCAAGGCGACGAUCCAUAGCUGGUCUGAGAGGAUGAUCAGCCACACUGGGACUGAGACACGGCCCAGACUCCUACGGGAGGCAGCAGUGGGGAAUAUUGGACAAUGGGCGAAAGCCUGAUCCAGCAAUGCCGCGUGAGUGAUGAAGGCCUUAGGGUUGUAAAGCUCUUUUACCCGGGAUGAUAAUGACAGUACCGGGAGAAUAAGCUCCGGCUAACUCCGUG
rnacentral:rRNA from 1 species